ACCUGUCAUAUUUUCUUUCGAGAUCACUACCCACGCGCCAACACCAUCACCGUGACGGGAGUCCACCUACCAUAUUCAAAGCCCACUAGAACACUUUGAUCCUAUCAUCAUUCUCCCGCUGGUAAUUGCUUAGGCAGAGCAGUCAAGGGAGCCAGGGCGAGAAGACGAUGCGGCCAUUCAGCCGUCUCGCUCCUCUCCUCCUCCUGCUCGUCCUCGUCUCGCCUUCGUCCCCGCAGCCGCAGGAGCUCCACGAAGAAGCGGGCGGCCUCCAAGAGAGCUUCCUGCGUUGUGUGUCCCGCCUAUCGCCGGACACCGCCGACCCGUCCGAGCUCGUCCACGCGCCGGCGGACGCCUCCUACCCGCCCCUUCUCGCCUCCACCAUCCAGAACCUCCGCUUCGCUUCGCCUCAGACGCCGGGGCCGUCGCUGCUCCUCACGCCUAGGACCGUCACCGAGGUGCAGGCGUCCGUGGCCUGCUGCAAAGCCCACGGCCUCACCGUCCGCGCCCGCAGCGGAGGCCAUGACUACGAAGGCCUAUCCUACCGCGCUACCCGUCCCAGCGGCGGCCGCCCGUUCGGCGUCAUCGACGUCGCCGCGCUCCGGACAGUGCGGGUCGAUGCGGCGCGCCGCGUGGCGCGCGCCCAGCCCGGGGCCACCCUUGGGGAGCUCUACUACGCGGUCGCGGAGGGGAGCGGUGGUGCGCUGGGGUUCCCCGCCGGGAUCUGCCCCACGGUCUGCGUCGGUGGGCACCUCAGCGGCGGCGGAUUCGGGCCGGUGAUGCGCAAAUACGGCCUCGCCGCCGACAACGUCGUAGACGCCGAGGUGGUGGACGCGGGAGGGAAGCUCCUGAACCGGUCAGCCAUGGGGGAGGACCUCUUCUGGGCGAUCAGGGGCGGCGGCGGAGGAAGCUUCGGCAUCGUCGUUUCUUGGACCGUGAGUCUGGUCCCCGUCCCGAGCGUCGUAUCCGCCUUCACCGUCCGUCGGCUACUCCGGCGUGGUGACGAGGACGAAGAAGCAAUGCUCCUUCUCCUGACCAAAUGGCAGCUCGUGGCACACGCCCUCCCGGACGAUCUCUUUGUCAAGGUGGCCAUGGAGCCCAAGGUCGAUGACGGCGGCAAGAGACGGCCAUUGGUGGUGUUCAAGUCACUGUUUCUUGGCAACUACAGUGGGAUGAUUACCCAAAUGGGCAUCCAUUUGCCUGAACUAGACAUUAAGCCAAGCGAUUGCAGAGAGAUGAAUUGGAUUCAGUCGAUGCUCUACUUCUACGGCUACACCAAUGGCCAACCGGCAGAAGUGUUUCUGGACAGAACACUCCAACCCAAAGAGUACUACAAGAUCAAGCUAGACUACCUCACAUCGCCAAUUCCGGCAACCGGUCUAAGCAUGUUAUUCACCAAGAUCGUCGAAGAGCAGGGCGGCUCCAUCGACAUCGACCCCCAGGGCGGCAGGAUGAGCGAGAUACCAGAAUCCGACACGCCGUAUGCGCACCGCAGAGGGUACCUCUACAAUUUCCAGUACUAUGUCAAGUGGGGAGGUGACAAGAAUGUGUCAUAUGAGGAGAAGCAUUUGGGUUGGGUCAGGGGGGUGCAUGAGCUCAUGACACCCUAUGUGAGCAAUAGGCCUAGAGCUGCAUACAUUAACUUCAGGGACCUGGACUUGGGGCAGAAUGUGGAGGGCAAUACAAGCUACGAAGAGGCCAAGGUGUGGGGGAGAAAGUACUUCAGGGGAAACUUCAGGAGGCUGGCAAUGGUGAAGGCAGAGGUUGAUCCUGACCAGGUGUUCUGGAGUGAGCAGAGCAUCCCUCCUCUGGUUGUGGCCAGGAGGAAGAGGAAGGGACAGAGGCAUGCUGGAUUGGUUUUAGAUAUUUGAUAGUUCAGGCGCAGGAAUAAAAGAAACUAGAUGAUAUUCCGCACGGUGUUGCAGAAAUGUUUUGCAAUAUAUUUUAAUGAUAUUUGGUUGUAUGGAACAUGAAUAUUUGGAGUGAUAAUAGGAGAACCAAAGCUGAAAAUGCAUAUGAUCAUGGUGUUUGAUUAUUCUAUAGUUGUAAAUUAUUUAUUAAGUAUAAAUAGAAUAAUAAAAUUGAAAUUAUCAUGCAUGUC
rnacentral:rRNA from 1 species